rnacentral:rRNA from 1 species
CCAAGUCGUGAGGCGGAGCUAAUCCCUUAAAGCCAUUCUCAGUUCGGAUUGUAGGCUGAAACUCGCCUACAUGAAGCUGGAGUUACUAGUAAUCGCAGAUCAGAAUGCUGCGGUGAAUGCGUUCCCGGGUCUUGUACACACCGCCCGUCACACCAUGGGAGUCGGGAAUGCCCGAAGUCAGUGGCCCAACCGAAAGGGGGGAGCUGCCGAAGGCAGGCCUGGUGACUGGGGUGAAGUCGUAACAAGGUAUC